AGGGUUUUUUAAAACUUAGUUCAGGGUUGUUGUUGUUGAUCAAACAGGAUAUUUCUGAGCAUUCUUAACAAGCUUGGAUAGAGCAGCUUGUCCAAGAUCAAGUCCACAGACAUCAGCUAGACGAACAAGAUAGAGUAAAACAUCUGAGAUCUCUUCCUC